rnacentral:rRNA from 1 species
CGUACACUCCUACGGGAGGCAGCAGUGGGGAAUAUUGGACAAUGGGCGCAAGCCUGAUCCAGCCAUGCCGCGUGAGUGAUGAAGGCCCUAGGGUUGUAAAGCUCUUUCACCGGUGAAGAUAAUGACGGUAACAGGAGAAGAAGCCCCGGCUAACUUCGUGCCAGCAGCCGCGGUAAUACGAAGGGGGCUAGCGUUGUUCGGAUUUACUGGGCGUAAAGCGCACGUAGGCGGACUAUUAAGUCAGGGGUGAAAUCCCGGGGCUCAACCCCGGAACUGCCUUUGAUACUGGUAGUCUUGAGUUCGAGAGAGGUGAGUGGAAUUCCGAGUGUAGAGGUGAAAUUCGUAGAUAUUCGGAGGAACACCAGUGGCGAAGGCGGCUCACUGGCUCGAUACUGACGCUGAGGUGCGAAAGCGUGGGGAGCAAACAGGAUUAGAUACCCCAGUAGUCCCAUGAU